rnacentral:tRNA from 1 species
GCGCGUUUCGUGUGGUGGUUUAUCGUUUACACCGAGAGGGUCGGCGGUUCGAGCCCGUCAUCGCCCACCA